AUAAGUGUAACAUUGCGCUUUUGGACAAAAACUGCACCCCACUGUGAGUACUGUGUCAGAGACUGUAUGAGGACCACCUGCAGUUAAACUAAGCCUGUUUUCAUGAAGUCUCUACCCAUUAGAUUUAUAGGAUACAAACUCUGACAACAGAAAAUAAUGCCUGAAGGAGAAGCCCAUCAGGUGUUACGCAUGCAAUGGGUUUUGAAAAUGCUCCUUCAUGAGAUCUGUCCUGAGGCUUACAUUGAAACACAUGGCUACUGUUGAGUUUUGGAAGUGUUGUAACUUCCUCUGCUUUUUAAUAACUUUUAAUAACUAGAAUAAUUGACCCUGAAUAUUCCACGACAAGAGAGAGAACUUGCUUCUCUGAAAGAAUUAACUGGAAAGUAUCAAAUGGUAUAAAUUAUUGUGGAAGCUUAAAGCUUCGUUUGUUAGAUUAAAAGUGUUAUUAUUGUGUUUACCAUGUGCAAGAUGAAUUCUGUGAAGUAUUGUUCUGGGAAUAAGGGAAGGGUCACUCUGAACAGCAUGCAAGCCGUCUGGAAACAGAUUACAUUAGGGAAACGUUCUUGGCGUGAGGAAUGAUUGAUGGGCUUGUAAUUGCAGUUCGGCCAGGAAAUCUCAUUACUCCAGCCAGGUCACUUUGACAUUGUUUCAGCAGUCCAGUUUAGCUCAGGAAUGAGGAGUUGACCAAAAGCAUGAGAAUGCUAUUGUAAACUGUCACAUAGACUAGUUUUGAUUUCAUGCAGAUGUUGGCCGGAUCUGUGUUCCAGGAAACUGCUCUUGAGAAUCAAUGUUGUGAGUGCCAAAAUGUUUGUAAGUGAAAGGGUACAUCUGAUUGGUCAAAAAGUCUCACAUACACAACAAUGAUAUGACUGUUGUAUAUAUAUCUUGACACGUGUCAGGGAUUUUUGGGGAUUCUUUGGGAUUUUGUAUGAAGAUGUAUUCAGAGAUGUGUUCUGAAUAAAAGGUCCCCAUGUUCGGCUCUGAGAGGAAACCAGUUGUCUCUUCAUCAUUUUUUAGUUAGUAAACUUUGUUCUCCCGAAAUAUUGGCACCCAACGUGGGGCUUUUUUUGCUGAGGGAGAAGAGAAAAGUGGCCAAUCCAGGCGAAGAUACAUGAACUUCUGAAAUGGGCCUGAUGAACCAGAAGGGGUUAUCUCCAGUCCAGAGCUUCAGUCUCCAGUCUGAUUAUGCAGAGAACCCAGAUUUGCUCCUUCCAAGAGAACUUCACGGAUUAUCUUCGCAGUUGGCUACGCUCUGGUUCCAAGGCUCCUCAGGCUUACCUGCAAACGAACCUAGCUCACCCUCCAAGGUGCUCACCCUCCAAGAAAGACCCACCUGGUGCCACCUUCAUUUCAAGAGCAAGCAAGACAGGAUUACCUGGACCAAUUUACUAACCUCACACACCCUGGAGUUUCCAUCCAACUUCCCCCUUCCUGGCAGAUCUUCAAGUCUUCAACUGUAAGCAGAAUUAUAUCAAGAUCAAAAACUCUCAGCAAUAUCAGUCACUUAUUAUUUAUCCCUUCUCCAUACAGCGGCGAGUUCCAGUUCCCAGCAUUCUUACCCUUCUUAAUAAACGUAUUAAACCUU